CCUACGGGAGGCAGCAGUCGAGAAUCAUUCACAAUGGGGGAAACCCUGAUGGUGCGACGCCGCGUGGGGGAAUGAAGGUCUUCGGAUUGUACACCCCUGUCAUGUGGGAGCAAAUUAAAAAGAUAGUACCACAAGAGGAAGAGACGGCUAACUCUGUGCCAGCAGACGCGGUAAUACAGAGGUCGCAAGCGUUGUUCGGAAUCACUGGGCGUAAAGGGUGCGUAGGCGGUUUCGUAAGUCGCGUGUGAACUGUGCGGGCCCAACCCGCGGACGGCACAUGAUACUGCGAGACUAGAGUAAGGGAGGGGGAACCGGAAUUCUCGGUGUAGCAGUGAAAUGCGUAGAUAUCGAGAGGAACACUCGUGGCGAAGGCGGGUUCCUGGACAUUAACUGACGCUGAGGCACGAAGGCCAGGGGAGCGAAAGGGAUUAGAUACCCUUGUAGUC
rnacentral:rRNA from 1 species